GAUGAACGCUGGCGGCGUGCUUAACACAUGCAAGUCGAACGAAGCACUUUAUUUGAUUUCCUUCGGGACUGAUUAUUUUGUGACUGAGUGGCGGACGGGUGAGUAACGCGUGGGUAACCUGCCUUGUACAGGGGGAUAACAGUUGGAAACGGCUGCUAAUACCGCAUAAGCGCACAGCAUCGCAUGAUGCAGUGUGAAAAACUCCGGUGGUAUAAGAUGGACCCGCGUUGGAUUAGCUAGUUGGUGAGGUAACGGCCCACCAAGGCAACGAUCCAUAGCCGACCUGAGAGGGUGACCGGCCACAUUGGGACUGAGACACGGCCCAAACUCCUACGGGAGGCAGCAGUGGGGAAUAUUGCACAAUGGGCGAAAGCCUGAUGCAGCGACGCCGCGUGAGCGAAGAAGUAUUUCGGUAUGUAAAGCUCUAUCAGCAGGGAAGAUAAUGACGGUACCUGACUAAGAAGCAC
rnacentral:rRNA from 1 species